GAUGAACGCUAGCGAUAGGCCUAACACAUGCAAGUCGAGGGGCAUCACGGAGUAGCAAUACUUUGGUGGCGACCGGCGCACGGGUGAGUAACGCGUAUGCAAUCUACCUACAACAGGGGGAUAACCCGGAGAAAUCCGGACUAAUACCGCAUAACACAGGGGUCCCGCAUGGGAAUAUUUGUUAAAGAUUUAUCGGUUGUAGAUGAGCAUGCGUUCCAUUAGGUAGUUGGUGAGGUAACGGCCAACCAAGCCUGCGAUGGAUAGGGGAACUGAGAGGUUUGUCCCCACACUGGAACUGAGACACGGACCAGGCUCCAACGGGAGGAAGCAGUGAGGAAUAUUGGUCAAUGGGCGAGAGUCUGAACCAGCCAAAUCGCGUGAAGGAAGACUGCCUUAUGGGUUGUAAACUUCUUUUGUACAGGAAUAAAAAGAGGGACGUGUCCUUCAUUGCAUGUACUGUACGAAUAAGCAUCGGCUAACUCCGUGCCAGCAGCCGCCGUAA
rnacentral:rRNA from 1 species